AUUCUCUCUCUCUCUCUCUCUCUCCCUCGCUAAGAUCCUUCGCCGUUCGUCGUCCGUUUCCAAAAAUGGAGGGUACUGCGUGGAUCAGAAGAAGAAACUCUACACUUUUAGUGGAUAGGAUCGUCGUUUCGAGAGUUUCGGGUUUUCCCAAGAAUCGAGGUUUUCGGGAUCUCGGGUUGUCGAUUUGGACCGUUUUCAUACGAACUUUCAUUUCGAGUAUAAGGUAAGGGGAAUUUGAUUACAACUGCUAUUUUAGAAAACUAAACCGCUAAAAAGCUAGUUUAUGUUAUUAUGUAUGAUUUAACUGCUUAUUUGUGAAAUUCUACCGAGUAGAAAUGCCGGUUUGACGAUUUUACGAUUUUUGGUAAAAACAAGGAUUUCGACGUGUGAUCUCCAAAUUUUACAAAUAUUGUUUAUUUAUGUUUAUGCUACAGUUGGAGAGGCUCGAAUCCUUUAUUUAUUCAGUUAAACUAAGUAUAUUGAAUUUCUAUCAUUUAGCGGGUUUUUGUAUCAAACUUGUUUGAUAUAUGUUGAAAUGGAAAUGAAUGUAUUUUCAAUACUAUUAAUAUAGAAUAUAGGAAUGAAAUUCCAAUUUAUUAUAUUGACAAUGUGAUAAAUAGAGGCUGGUGAUACACCGAGCCGCAUCAGUAAACAAAAGGGGUAGACUGAGUGGAAAGACGCCGGUUUGAACCCGUUGGGAUUUUUUCUAUACUAUUGCUAUAGGGUUGAAAAAUACUUUCUUUGCAGAGUUGAAAUAAACUACUGUUAUAUGAUACGGCGCGAUAUCGUAGGUAGAUGUACAUGUGCAACCACACGUAUUAAACGAUGUGGGUACCAAGAUGGUCGGCUAGCAGGGUGAAACCAUUGGCUGAUAUUGGGCCAAUGGGGGCAGUCGGAUAGUAUGUAGGUACUCGGUAGUGUCUGCACGAACAGGGCAUUGGAGGAGUACCAGUGCACAACCCGAGCCACGGGGUAAAACUGGUUAUAGGGAUAUUUUGUUGUUGGUCAUCUGAUAAAUCAUUAAAUGGUCGAAAGACAGAUGUGGGAAUUUUGUAAUAUGAAUAAUGAUAUACCUUAUGCAUUACUGUAUUGAAAAUAUUUGAUUUAUAUUCCAGAUGUUGAAUGAAAAUAUGCAUGUAUGCAGUCA